UAGGGGGACCUGCGGAAGGAUCAUGUUGUCCAAGGCUGCCGCCCCCGGUAUGCGCCCCAAGGCUGCGACCGGUGGGUAGGCCAACCAAACCUCAGAUCGUGCCCUCCAGCACGUUAAAUGGACCGAGAGCACCGCUCCGGCCGCGUGGCUCCGGCCUCGCUCUUAAACACCUGAUUAGAACUAUGUUGGGUUAGAAAAUCUACAACCAGUAGCACUGGAUCCCUUGGCACGUCAUUCGAUGAAGAACGUAGCAAUCUGCGAUAAGUGGUGUGAUAUGCAAGUCCACAGCUUAUACGUGAACCAUCGAAUCUUUGAACGCACUGCACUAUCCGGACGACACCCCCGUGAUAGUAUGCCCCAUUGAGCGUUAUUUGUCCAUUCAGACACCAUUGUGUUCAUUCAUGUUGGUGGAUGAGUUCGAGGUUCACAUCUUCUGAUGCGUCCCUUGAGAUGUAUUAGCAACCGGUCUGAUGGAUGCCUGUCCUGUAAUGAUUUUGUGGGUCAAGGUUCUGUCGGUAUGGCUGGUGCUGACAGUCGCCUUUUUGGCAAACCCGGCACUCUGUGCCCACACUUCGAACAUAACCUCAGUGGGGUAGGAUUACCCGCUAGACUUAAGCAUAUUAAUCAGCGGAGGAAAAGAAACUAACAAGGAUUCCACCAGUAACUGCGAGUGAAGAGGGAACAGCUCAAUGUG
rnacentral:rRNA from 1 species